rnacentral:lncRNA from 1 species
AAAAAAUUUCCUAUGAAAAAAGUUAGUCAAAAGAGGUAAAUCUACUCCUGAUGAGUAGAAUCAGGAUCAUUAGUAUAUAAAAUCUGAAAAUCCUUUCAUUCUUCAUCUUUCUACAUUUUCUUUUAGCACUUGUCUAGAGACAAUCUAUGAUAGAGUACUUGCAUCCGACAUCCCAAUUAUAAAAAAUUGAACCAUUGGGCAAUAACAAGAUUUUGAGUAAACUCAGAAAACUUUAAUUCACAGCCUAAUUCUCAAGCCAAAAAUCCUUCACAAAAAAGAAAAAAAAAAAAAAAAAUCUACUACUAAUACCAAGUUUAUAAAUAACAAAAGAAUCAACUUGUACUUGAGCCUUGGAAAUACUUCUCCAAGAACUUGGAAGACUCAAUCCAAACUUUUUAGGUGUGUGCCACUUAUAAAGAGCUUUCCCACGUAUGCUUUGAACAACUUUACAAAUGAAAGCUAAGCAGUAUACACACUCUUAAAAUAGUAAGUGUCGGUGUCAGACACUCACACGCCCCGACAUGCGUCGGACUUCAACAUACCAGUUUUUAUUAUUAAAUUUGUAAUAUCUGACACGACCAAACACCACAAAUGGCACCUCAAGACACCACAAGCUGCAAGGUUUUAUUUAAAAACAAUUAAAUGCUGUCUUUUUUAGCUGACUUAGCAACAGUGAAGGGAGGGGAUGUCGACAUCGUUUGGCUAAGCAACGAUAAAGGAUGAGAUCGACGUCAUUAAGAAGAAUCUUAUCAAUUAUCAGUGGCGAAAAUGAAGUUUUCUCUGGAUAACCACCAAGUGAAUGCCCAAGAUAUGUAAUAGACAAAUAUUGUACCUCACAACGCAAACAACAAGAAUUGGACAACUUAUCUUUUUCCAUGCUAACACUACGCAGAAGAUUUUUCCCAAUUAUCCUUUUUGGCCAAAACACCUCUCAAAUAACUCAAACGGUUUUAAUGAGAACAUCUAAUAUCCCGUCAUCACAAUUGCAUAAUAAUAUCAUGUCAUCGCCAAAUUGAAGAAUAAAAACAUGAACUUUAUCAACUGUCAACAGAAUGCCGUGUAACCACCGAAAGAAGAAAAAAAUCACCCACAAUAAACCCUUUGAUAGGCACAUUAUAUAAGGGCUAAAAAACACACUUAGAACCUCACUAACUAAGAGAAAAAGGUAAGGAGGAAAGAGAAUCGUCAACCUAAUUCUCCUUGAAGUAGGGAUUCAACCACAGGUCUACCAUCCAAACGGAAAAUUUAGGGUCUCUAAUGCAACAACUAAUCCAUGAAAUCUACUUAGGAUCAAAGCCUUCAAGGAUAAGCACAUUUUCCAAGAAGUCCCAAUUCACCCCACCAAAACAUUUCUCCAAUUUAAGUUUUAAGAUCCAACCUCCCUCGAACUUCACCACUUCAUUUGCUUUAAGUAUUGGAUUAAUUAUCUGUCCCCCCGAUAAAAGCACUUUGAGAAGAAUAAAUGAUGCUUGGCAUGAAUCUCUCACGGGUCUGUUGGUUCAAGAUUUUAUAAAUGUUCGGGAAUUUAAAAUGUUUUAGAAAAAACUGUUUGGGAAUUAAAAAUAACUAUGUUUGGUUGUGUAGGGGAACAUUACCAACUUUUCUUAAGAACAAGUAAUGUAGGCUUUUGUUGUUUCACAAUGAUAUUAUCAUAUUUGAAAUAAAUUAUAUUAUAAUUUAAAUUGUGGGCUAUUAUUUGGUACACGAUCGUUUAGAUUGUUUUUUGAAGAUUUUUUGGUACACGAUCGUUUAGAUUGGGUUAUUAUUUGGUAUACGAUAGUUUAGAUUUGAUUGUUUAAGUUUGAUAGUUUAGAUUUGGGUACAAGAUUCCUUUAGAUUUGGCUACCCAAAUCUGAACUAUUUUUUAAAAGAUCUUUUGUAUACGAUCGUUUAGAUUUGGCUCAUAUUUGUUAGAUUUGGUUGUAGCCAAAUCUAAACGUGUACCAAUAUGCCAACGAUUUUUGUUCAAGAUCGUGUACCAAGAUAUUUUAUAUUUGGUAUACGCUUGAACAACCAAAUAACAAUUUGAAAAAAAAAUAGAAGAAAAAUUGCCGAAGAAAGAAGAUAGAAAAGAAGGGUAAACCUGGAAUAUUUAAAAAAAAUGGCUGGCUUCAUGAGCAUUUUGAUUGUGUUAAACGGGCCAUAAAUAUUUAGGUGUUUUAUUAUAUUUAUGAAAAUUUCCUAUUAGUUUACUCUAUUUAUUUUUAGAAAAUUAGUUAGUUAAUUAUUAGAACUCAAGGACAAAGAUGUACAACCUAUAGAACAGAUUCUGUUCAAUUAAGGUUGUAGUUGUUAGUUAAUUAUUAUUUUAAGUCAAUAUUCUCAAAUAAUUUAAGACUAUAAUUCAAUUUAAUGAAAAAACAAGAUGAAAAAUAUCACAACAAUGGUAGGAAAUAAUAAGAAAAUAAAAGGUCAAAAAUAGAAAGAUAAAUAAUAAAGUAUAAGAAAAAUUGAAAGGAAAACAUGUAAAAAAGAAAAAAAAAAGGUAAAAAAGGGAUGAAAAUUUUCAAUAUAACCAGAUGGGAUCAUGAAAGAUCACCAACGGGUAGGACAACAAAGGAGAUGAAAAUUUUCAAUAAAUUCAUCGAGGAAGCUGCCAUACAGGAUUUAUCUUUAUCAAAUGGUCUGUUCUCUGGUUCAGAAAGGGAAUUUCAACUCCCUCUUUUACUUACAAUGGAUCUUUGGACCAUUCUUCAAAGACAAUCAUUAUGGGGUUCCUUAUCUAAAUUGUUUGGAGACUAAUCAAUUCAAGAUAUUUGUCUCAAUUGGAACGUGUUUAUAACCUCUAACUAAUACCACUAUGUUCUAGUAAUUUAUGUUUUGAUGUAUUGUUGGUUGUCUUCUUUUGGUAUUUACCAGGUGUAUUUUCUAACUUUACAACUAAUCUUUGAAAUGGAUGAGGUGCCUUGUUUGAAUGAGGACCUGUUCCAUUGGUGUAACAGCAUAAAUAAAAUUUGCUGUGUGAGUUUCAUUAUUUAUUUCUUGCAUCCACUUAGUUUUGUUGAUAAUGUUUGGCUAUAUGCAACAGGUUGAAACUCAAAAUGGCAAAAGGGAGCAAGGGACGUCGCAGGUUGGCUUCCCGUCAAUUCAGGUCAAACCCGUAUCCACUCCCUUAUAAGAGGGUUUUCCCAGAGGAUUUGUGCCCAAAGGAUUGUGUCAAUGCUGUGGAUAAGAAGUACUGGGAAGACUCAACAUGCUCGGUUUGCAUGGAGUACCCACACAAUGCUGUUCUGUUACUUUGUUCAUCGCAUGACAAGGGUUGUCGUCCCUAUAUGUGUGGUACAAGCCUACGUUAUUCCAAUUGCCUUGACCAGUACAAAAAGGCUUACACCAAAGUAAUUUCAUCCAACAAUGCACAAACAGUGAGUGCCUCAAUCGACAACCCAGGUGUUGUACAGGACCCAAGUUUACUGGGUGAAAAUCAUGAAGCGACUGAGCUUGCAUGCCCCCUCUGUCGUGGGCAGGUGAAAGGAUGGACUGUGGUUGAGCCUGCCCGAGAAUAUCUGAAUGCAAAAAAGAGGACCUGUAUGCAGGAUAGCUGCACGUUUGUAGGAAAUUACAAGGAAUUAAGGAAGCACGUGAGAUCGGAGCACCCAUCUGCAAGGCCGCGGGAGGUGGAUCCUGUGCUUGAACAAAAAUGGAGAAGUCUGGAACGGGAACGCGAGAGGAAUGACGUGAUGAGCACAAUCCGGUCGACAAUGCCUGGAGCUGUGGUCUUUGGGGAUUAUGUGAUAGAAGGAAAUAAUUUUGGAUUUGAUUCUGACGAAGAGGACGGAGGGUUAAAUGCUAAUUCUGCAGAGAGGAAUGCGGGUUUUGAAGUGGGUUUUGAUAGUAAUUUGGUGAAUAUGUUUCUUCUGUUACAUGCUUUUGGUCCAUCGAGUGGUGACCUCAACAGACGGCUUAGACAGCCAGAGAGAAUUUUCUCUCCCAGAUCAAACGAAGGCGUGGCAGGCAUUCCGAACACCACUCCACUCAGUAGUUUUGAUUCCAUUAAUGAAGGCAGUGAUAAUGGUGGAAGUGACGACGACAAUGGGAGUGGUAUGUCAUUGGUUAGCCGCCUUCGCCAUCAUGGGAGGGUACUGUUGGGACGUUCAGGUAGGAGGCGUAGGAAUAGAGAAAAUAGUAGCCAUAGAUGAUCAAAUUGGGCACAGAAACAGAAAGGAGGGGUAGGAAUAGGAAACAUUUCGCAGGUACAUAGUUUAAGAAAAAGAAAACGUAGAAGAAAAUUUUAAAUAAAGGAAUACAACUUGUGGAGUUUCAGCAAAAUUGAUCACAUUUGCCCCAUCUGAAAAGGGGAGAUGGAAAAGUUGGCAGGUUAGCCUGUCGUGUAAUUUAUUGUUAAUUGUAUAAUUUCCUGAUUGCCUUAUCCUCCUCUUGAUGAUACGUCAUUUGGUUGAAAAUUUACCUGUAAUCAUCUCAAAUUAAUGUAUCUUCUCGACAUUGGUUCACGAAGUCAUUCCACAAAAUGACACCAAUUUGUUUACGUAAUUUGCUCUCUGCUUUGAAUUUUAACUCGCUGCACCGUCUCCAUUGUUAUUGCUUUGAUUUGAUUGAUGAGGACAUCAUUUGUUUCUAAAGAUUUUAAGACAGGCCUUUACUCCCUCUUUUAUCUUUAUUUGUUAUUUCUAAUAAAAAUGAAUUUGUAGAAUGGGGCCAUGGUCAUAGACAAAUUGACGUUGUCUGGUGGGGGUACAGCCUUGGUAUGAAUUAAAGACUUAGUUUAAUUGAUUCAUGGGAUUUUGACAGAUGUUUAGAGACUGGUUUGGUAGCCAAUUCGAAAACAAGAGAUUACAUGAAAAUAAAUUGUAUUGCAUAAUUUAAAUGAUUACGUGAAUAAAUUGUAUUUCAUAAUUUCAAAUGAUCACAUGAAUAAAUUGCAUUUCAUAAUUUCAAUUUCCAAACUAUUCAUAAUUUCAAUUGUGUUCUGAAGUAAAUUUAAAAAUUAGAUUCUAAUUUAAUACUAUUGUAGUUAUAGUUUUAACAGUAAAAUUAUUAUCAUUUUAACACGUUUUAUGUUUAAAAAAGUUACAUAAUUAUGAAUUAUACAAUUUGUAUUUGUAAUAUAGCCUUAUAUGGUUUCCGUAACAGCUUCCCAAGUAGUUACAUAUGGCAGUGAUUAUUUAUGAGGAUUUUAACGGUGUAUAUGAAAGUUUUAUCAAAUUAUAGAAACUAAAAUGAAAUUUAGAAAAAGUUAAUUUUAUAAAUAUAACAACACACCUAAAUAUUUAUGGAAUGUGUAACAAAAUAAAAAAGAUCUUUAUAUUUUCAUAAAUUUGAGGUUUAAUAUUCCGGAUCAUUUUUCACUUCUUUUUCUUCUUCCUUGCAAUCUAUUCAUCUUCUCUUCAUAUAGUUACUUCUUCUAUUCAUAUUUUCACUUGUUUUUGUUUGUGAUUUUUUUUUUGUCAUUUCUUUUAUAUAUAUAUAUAUUUCACUUUUUCAAAUUCUCACUUGGUAAACGUUCUUUAUCAUCUCUCAUAUAUUUUCUUCUCAGAUCUAAAUGAUCAUGUACUAAGAUCUAAACGAUUGUGUACCAAAGUGUACUAAAUAUAUUAGCAUUCAAGAUGUACCAAAGAGUACCAAAUAUAUAAGAUUUUGAUAGACGAUCGUGAACCAAAAUUGUUUAGAUUUGGUACGCGAUCGUGUAUUAAUAUCUAGACGAUCUUGGUUCGCAAUUGUGAACCAGAAUUGUUUAGAAUUGGUACAAGAUCAUGUACCAAGAUCGUUUAGAAUUGGUAGAUCAUGCGUCGGGUGUACCAAGAACGAUUAUGUAUCAUUUCCUACACGACCACGAUUGCAUAUCAUGAUCGUAUAGAAGAAGGAUUACACGCACGCAUGUGGCCAGUGUUGAUACUACCUACACGAUCGUGUAUCAUUUCCUACAUGAUUGCCUAUCAUGAUCAUUUAGAACAAGAAUUACACGUGCGCUUGUGGUCGGUUAAUCUCGUAUUGACUAAGGUAUUUUUUUGUAUUUUUCAUUGUCAUCCUGUGAACUUUUUCUGUUUUCUAAAUUGUUCUAUAUAAUAUAAAUAUUUCGUCGGUUUGUUAUAUUUUUGAAAAAACCCCUUCAAGAAAUUAGACGGACGAACUUCCAACUUUUUCCAAACCAUACAAUUAAAUUUGCAAUUAAACUCAAUAUAAAUAUGUUACAUUAUUUAUAUUUUUAUUCUAAAAAGGUGAAUUGAGUUUACAACCUAUGUUUUAUUUUUAAAUGUUAUUAUUUUAUUUAAGUAUUUUGUAUUUUUAAAUUUAAAGCACAAAUAAUAUUGUUUUUAGAAUUUGCACAAUUUGGAUCAUAUAAUUUGAAAACAAUUUGUAGAAACAAAGUUUUGGUUGCCUACUAAACAUAUAUAUUUACUAAAUUUAAUGAAUAUGAGAACAUAAAACAAAUUCUAGACUGCCAACUAAUUAGACUCGCCAACGGCAACUACUCAACAAAUGUUUAUUGAAUAAAAGAGUUUUUGCAACUUUUGAGUUAAUGAGAUUUUCAUCUUUCUUCCUAUGUGCUAGCCAUAGUGCGACCUUUGUCACUGAUGACGAGUCCAAACAAUUUUUCUCCUCAAAAAAUGCAAUGUAGUUAGAUAUAUUACUAGAUUUAAGAACAUCACUAUAUUUUUAAUUUAGAAUAAUCAAUACAUCUUCUGCCUACAUAUACGUGGAAGUUGUCUCUUCUUCAUUGAUUUGAACUUUGCACUUUCAGUCUAAUCAAAUACAAAUGGAUUAAUGGUACUUGUAUGUGCCUUCUAAAACAAAUGACAUUCCAUCCAGGCGAACUAUAGUGCGAAUAUAUUUCUAAGUCCUCACUUUUAUUUCAAAAUAAAUAUCUGUCAUUUACACAUGUAUUAAUUUUUUUAUAUCCCAAAUCAAAUGUUUCGAAAAAAAUUAUGACAUCAUAAAGAGAUCGUGGGAUAACAUUGUUUGAAAGUAGUAUAUCAUUCAAUAAUUCCAAUAAGUUACUAAAACUUUUAUCAGUUCAACUAUUCAAAGUUUUAAGUUUAUAUAAGGCCACCAUAGCUGAUAUCUUUGUGAAUUUUGUACAAUCGAGAUAUAAGAGGGCUUUGCAUUUUUAAUUUUUUUUUUAUGAAGUUCACUAUGGGUACUUCAUCUCUUUCAUAUGUAUACUGAUACAUGUUAAAUACAUCAAACAUAUCUACAUCCUCAAUUUCUUCCUUUACACAAACUACCGUGUGAUGGUACAAAAUCUUAUAUGUUUGGUCAAUUUCCUUAAUUACUGAAAGUUUUCCAGUCCAUGGCAUCGACAUCUUCUUGUCAAGCUUUGAUCGACUUCCACCAACCUUCUGCCUCUUUCUAUGGUAGAAAAAUUGUCAACUUACCUAUUUGUUCUUUCGGAUUGUCCAUUACUUGAAAACAGUUCUCUAAUAGAUUCAAUCAGUCUUCAACGUCCACUAAAUUAAAUAGCAAAAUUGUAAUUAUAGUCAAAUCUCUGUCAAAAAAAAUUUUAGAAAAUUUUGAGUUUAUUUUUAUUUAAAUUAUUAAGAUGAGACAAAAUUAAACUAAUUUAAAAUUUAAUGAUUGAUUAAAUACAAAAAGAUAAUUGAGAGGCUGUAGAUUUAAGAAGAAGAAAAUAAACUAAAAGUAAUAAAAAAAAUAAAAAAAUCCCAAACUAUCUUAAAAUGGAGUGACAUUUUUUUAGAAAUAAUAAUCAUAGUAGUAAAAGGUAUUUAUUCCCAAUAAAAGAAGAAGAAAAAGAAGAAGAAGCAAAAAUAGUGUAAUAAUUAGAAUUGAAAGAUAUGUUGUGAGAGUUAGGAUUUGGUUAGCUCCCUCGCAUAAUAUUCCUUAGAACUAUAAGAAAAAUUAAAAAAGAAAGUAUGAAGAUAGAGAACAGAAGAGAAAAUAAGAAGGCUGCAAAGCGCAAUAACUUUUCUUCAGCUUAAAAACUAGAAAGAGAGAGAGAGGUCCAGAGGAUGACUUCUUCUUCUUCUUUAUCUCUCUGCCUCUUCUUCCCUUUUCCUUCUUCUUCCUCCUCUUCUCUUAGAUUCAUCAACAUUUCCAAUCCCUUCUUCUCCCCAAGCCCUAAUUUCCCACUUUUUGUUUCUUCCAGGCGCCGCUCUUCUCUCAAUACAUCUCUGGUAACUUCUCUCUCUUCUCUUUUCUUCUCUCUUUCAACUCUUCAUUUCUCUUUUUGCUUUCUCGAUUUUUCUUGUUCUGGUGUUGGACGGAUUGGGACUGGGAUUGGUUAAAUUUCCAAAUCUCUUGUUGAAAUUAUUUGCUGUUUCUUUACAAGCCCUGUAUUUUUCUGCUUCUUGAUUUCUUGUUCUUUAUUGACUGUAUGGCACUCAAUUUCUUGUGUGUUUAUGUAUAAAGAUUUGUUGAAUCUUUUAUAUACACAAUUUAUAACCGAGAGAAACGCUAUUCUUGAGAUAAAGAGAUGAUUAUAUGGACGAGAGAACGGUUGUUAAUCGUUGAGGUCUGUCAAUUUAGAGACAUGAACUUUUAGUGCUGGGCAGAUAAUCUGAAGUUUGAUGAUUUAAGGCAUUGACUUUCUUUUGCUAAAAAAUAAUUUUCUUCGUUUUGAACCAUAAAGUCAUUGUAAAGUUGGUUUAGGAUAUUAAUAGGCUCUCUUAGGAAUGGCCAAGUGCCAAUUACAAAUGGAAUGCAAGGAACUUCAGUUUUUCUUUUUUUCUUUUGAUGAGAAUUCACUAUAAUUGAACCAUUUGGGUAAAAAUGAGACGAAGUCUUAAUGGCAAAAAGGUCAUGAGUUCAAUCCAUGGUGGCCUACCUAAGAGUUAAUUUCUUACAAGUUUACUCGACAUCCAAAUGUUGUAAGAUUAUGCAAGUUGGCCUGUGAAAUUAGUCAAGGUGUACGUAAGCUGACUCGAAUACUCACUUUCAUUGAGAAAAAAAUGAAAGAAUACAAGGGUAUCCUACAAACACCGACCCACGAAAAGGAGUAGCACCCUCUAAAGAAAAGGACCCAUCUGUGCAAAAUAAUACCUAUAGUAUAGUUACAACAAAUCUUAGAAUUUAAAUUCAACGAUGAACCAUGAGAAUGACAAAGGAACCAUUUCUUGCUUGGAACCUUCUCCACACUAGUGUUUUCGAAGUGCAAGACUUAGGGCGACGGGUUCCUUGAUCCCCUCAAGGCGAGAGGGGACAAAAAGGUGACGCUCGAGCGAAGUGAUGCGCAAUAAAUAAAUAAAUAAUAUAUGUAUAAGCAUAAUAUAAGUUUAUACACAAGUGUAAGCCCAAAGAUUAUGGUAGUUAUCUAAUCAAUAAAAAUGAACAAAAAUUCAAAAGUAAAAUUUAUAAAACGAUCAAAUGUCAAAUUCAUCAUCCUCCCCAUCUAAAUCUAAUGUUUCAUCCAUUGCUCCUCCUUGGCCAUUGUCCCCGAUGUCUAAUUCCUCUACAUUGUUGUCUGCAUCUUCAUCACUAACCACUUGUAUAGUUGGUGUUUUCUUUUGAACUCUAGAAAUGGAGGUAGAGGCAACUGAAUUUCUUUUUGAUCUAGUGUAUAUGAUGAAUUCUCUAACAUCAGUGGCACGAGCUACAUCUCCCCAUGUGAGGUUGAUGUCAUAAAAAACUCUCUUAUUGUGAACUUCAGCUUCAUUAUUUUCUUCAACCAAUGUUCCCACCAUUCAUUAUUCUUGUUGAUAUUAUCCAAGGAGAUUGGACCAAGUUGAUCCUUUAGAUCAAACCGCUCUUUAAUUACUUGAUUAUACUUUACAUAAACAAAUCAUUUAAGCGCUUUUGCUCCAAUCUCUCUCUUUUUCAUAUGAAUCUACAAAUUAUUAACCAAUACGGAGUCACAAGAAUAUUUAAAAUCUUAAAUUAAUAAUAUGAGAAAAACAAAAUAAUCACUUACAUGUUAAAAAACUCUCCAAUUGCAUUCACUCCCAGAAGCUCUGCAUGUUAGCUUAAGGACUUGCAUUGUUAACUUUUGCAAAAUUGGAGUGCUACCAGCAUAAAGAGCCCACCAUGAUGCUGUUCACACAUUUUGACAUGACAUAGAAAUAAUAUAUAUAUAUUUAUAUACACUAUUAAGUAUUAAUGCAGUAGGGAAUGUCCAUACCUGGUGUCUUGACUGUCCUCGUGUUAAUUGCUAAGUCAAUGCCGAACAUACCUUUAGCUUCAGAAUAUAACUCUAAUUCCACUGUGCAUUGAUGAAACCGUUUGAGCUGAGAGUGGAAAAGAAAAAAUUGGCCCUCUUCGUGUAGCCGUAUUUCCACAUCAUAUUGGAAGGGAGAUAUUUCUCACUCUUCCUAUUGCUCAUCAAAUCUAUAAAAAUAGAGCUCACUUUAAAGCUGCCAUUUGGAUCUGAUAUCGAAGUCCAAUGAUUGAUGGGAUUCUUUGCUUAGACAUUGCCGAAAUAUGAGUUACGAGGCUCUUCAAGGACACCCUAUGAUCCUUGAGGCUUGAUUUGUAUACCAAGAUUUCAGCUUCUACUCGAAGAAAUCCAUCUGCCUUCAAUGGAUGAUAUUUUUUACUAGGUAAAGAAUAAUAUCUUAGGAAGUCAGCUACAAAUUGGUAAUUAGUUAGAGAGAUUAUUAUGGUAUUUGGUUAUAAAUUGAUGGAGGAACGGAUGAAAUUAUUUUUGGUGGUUUCGUGGGGUGUAUACCUUUUUGUGGGAUAUUUGAGGGAGAGGUUUGGUCCUUAAUUAUUGUAACAUCUUACUUAGUCGGAAACCCUUUCUAUAGCGUGGUGCUUUUAUGGGUUUUUUUUUCUUUGUAUGCUUUUGUAUUCUUUCCUUUUUGUUCUUAAUAAAAGUUGUUGAUUCUAUCAAAAAAAAAAAAAAAAGAAAAAAAAAAAAGAAUAAAGAAAAAAGAAAGAAAAGAUGGUUUAGGCCCGAGUUAGUAUAUUCUAGAGAGAGAAGGUUCCAAGUAUAUUAUCUUUUAUAUUUCAAUAAAAAAAAUACCAUUCCAGUUUUGUCUGGGAUCUAUCGAAUUACUAAAGGUGCAGUUUCGUUAUGAUCAUGGAAUCCAAUUCAAAUUUGGUGAAGAGAUACUGAGGUGUAUGUGAAAGGUUGGAUCAGUAGAUAGAUCGAUGGCAGGUGACCUCUGAGAAUUAUUUAUUUAUCAACAAGGAUGCACCAAGGAAGAAUUGUUGAACUUCCCCUCUCUCCCAUGGACAAGACUCUCUCUAACAAAGUAAAGUCAUAUCCUCCCAAUCCCAUCCUUGUAGUAUAUAUUCAUCUCUCACUACAACCCAACACACUACUCUCUUGGGCUUCUGGGCAUCCCAUCCUUAUUUUACGGGGCACCAUUUAGGUAUCUAUGUUGACAUGAUUAACUUGGUAUUUCUGAACUUAUCUUCGAUUACUUAUUGUGAUUAGUUAGCUUUAUUCCUAUAUUUUGGAUCUUUGUAUAUGCGAUGACAAUUGCUGAUUCCGUUAUCAAAAAAGUUGAUGUUCUUAUCUUGUUUGGUUAAUUGACCAGAUUUUGAUUCCCAGUUGACUUGGUGCUCUUCAAACCUACUAAUUUAUUUAUUUAUUUAUUUUUGUGUGCAUUGUGACUAUUUGGAUGUUGGCAUGAAAAUAGCGAGUUUUUGCAUCACCACAUUUGUGGGCAGUUGGUUUUCACUAAUGAUUUACUAUCAGGGGAUCUUUUUUAUGUACUGGUUAUAGUGGAUUCGAGGGCAUAUAAGAGGAGAUACAGAUGGAGAUAGUAGUGUGCCUCAAAAGAACAAUACAAUGCGGAUGUUUGGAUUUGGAUCUAAUGAUGAGACAGGCACUCAAAUUCCAACCCAAGCCCAAUCGAUUGUGGAAGGAUCAGGAUCAGUUAUGGUUUCUGAGUUCAAACCAGUUCCUGAUGUUGAUUAUCUACAGGUGAGUGUUAUGGGAUCUAAUCUUUUAUUUUUCUUUUAAUGACUAUGAAAUUAGUAAUAAGUGAAGUCCUAUUCCAAUCCUUGCUCAGAAAAGAAAAACUUUAAAGUUCUAUCCAGAUUGGUUAAUAGUUAUAAAACUAAAAGAGGGCUUGGAAGAACCUAAGGGGUACAGACAUGGAAGUGGCACACGCCAUACAAUAUGACAAUGUCCCAAUUUCUAAAAAAAGUAGGAUACGGGCAUGCUGGAGCAAGUGCGGAUUUACUAAGGGGCCAUCUCAACUUGAAAACUUAUUGUAUUUUUAUAUAUUUUUUCAAACUAAUUAAAUUUACACUUUAGCUUAAUGACUAAAGGAUUGUGGUUUGAAUCUUGCAUACCUAACUAAUUUAGACUUUUUAUUAUAACAAAUGGACUCUUAUGUUUCCAUUAAACUUUUUAUCAUGAUUAUCUUAAUCUCGAUACAUUUAAAUUUAACUGUAGGAUAAGAAGGUUAAAAUAAGAUUUUGAUCUUCAUAUUUUGGGACUCAUUUUAUUCAAGUUCACAUACUCCCUAGAAAUUCAAAUUUAGUUCUUGUAUUUUAACAAAUCUUUGGAUUAGUUUCUCGUUAUAAUUUAAAGAAACUUUUUAUUGAGACUAAAUUUAUUUUGGUAAUUUUAACCUGAUAGUGGUUAAUUUUAAAAUCAAUAAAAGCACAUGGUUUUAUACUGAACGUUUUAAUUAUGUGGACUAGUGUUAUGUCGGCCAUCUUCCGUAAAAUGAUUGAAAUAUAAGAAAAAAGUUUUGUAUUUUUCCUCUAAUGCAUUUUGAGUCUGUAACCCAUCAGACCUCCACCCGUUAAAGAUCUAAUCAACCCAUCUUCCUCUGCUUCACUCUCCUCCCCUUCUUCUCUCUCUUCUUCAGCAAGAUCAGGGUCAAGAGCAAACUUCAAAAGACAGAAAUCUCCCAAGCCGCAUCCACAUUUUUUCAAGUUAUUCCCUAAGCAUUUAGCUAGAAGGCGAUUGAAGGGAGCUUCUGUUAAAAAUUCCCCGAAGUCUAAGCUAUUUGCAGACUAAAACCUGGACUUGUUAGAGUCAAAUUGUGCCCACUCUCAAGCCCCUUCUCACUCCAACAGGUUAAACCCCCAGCCUCCCUCUCAUCCCCAACUUACACACUUUAUUUUCUCCCUUCCUAACUCUAAGAUCAAAUUCUUGAGAGGCACUCCAAUCCUCACCCCGACUCCUCCUUAAAAAAAGGGGAGUCUCAAUUUUGAUUCGCCAUUUAGCGUGAGUAGCGAGGAACUCUCUUAUAGGAAGGUCUACCGGGAAGGAACCUCAGCUUGAGAAAGACCCUCUGCAACCAGUCCUCAAAGCUUUGUUCUAUCCAGAGGAGGGCCCCGACCCUUGAUAAAAAAAAUUCAAAAGCUGGAUUACAUGAUCAAAUACUGAAACCUCCACUUCAAACUUCGAAAAUCAAAAAACGGAAUCUGUACUUCAAGACUCUCAGCACCAAAUUCCACCUCAUUUAAAGUCUUUUGCUGACAAAUGUAAACUUAUUUUGGUUUGAUUUCGUUUGGUAGAUCAAUCUGAGGUUCAAUGAAAAUUAUCUCGUGGAACACGAGAGGCCUGAAGGAUGCAAACAAGAGAUUAGCGCUCUAGAGAUUCCUGAAAAAGCAUAACCCGGAUUUGGUACUCAUUCAAGAAUCAAAGAAUGAAAAUUUUGAAUUGUGUUUUAUAAAAUCACUAUGGAGCUCAAAGGACAUUGGAUGGGAUUUUGUUGAAUUAUUUGGAACCACGGGAGGAAUGUUGACAAUGUGGGACACAAAUAAGUUAUCGCCAUCGGUCACUGAAACACUAAAAGGUGGAUACUCUUUAUCUGUAAAAUGCAUCACAUUAUGGAGAAAAACUUGCUGCCUUACUAAUGUGUAUGGUCCUACUGAUUAUAAGGACAGGAAAUUUGUAUGGCCUGGACUACUAAUUCUCUCGGAUUAUUGUAUGGAAGCUUGGUGUUUUGGAGGUGAAUUCAACAUCACAAGAUGGGUGCAUGAAAGAUUUCCACUAGGGAGAAUAACUAGAGGCAUGCGGCUGUUUAAUAACUUCCUUGAAAAAGCUUAACUGUUGGAAAUUCCCCAUGGAAAUGACAGGUUCACUUGGUCACGGGAAGGGGCUUCAGUUGUAAGAUUAGUCUUGGACAGAUUUGUCAUUAACAAGGCUUGGGAUGAUGAAUUCGAAAACAUAAGAGCUUCUAGGCAAGCUUGUUUAUUCUCUGAUCAUUUUCCCUUAUUUCUUGAAGCUGGAUCAGAUUUUGCAACAGCUGGUUGCUCGACAAAGACUGAUUUGGCAGUUGAAAGAGCAUGGAUUAACAGUGGUUCAGAAGGUUGGGCAUAUUUUGUUCUUAAUGCCAAGUUGAGAAGGGUUGAACUUGCAGUUAAAGAUUGGGUGGCUGAAUUCUAGAAAAAUCAAAUAAGAAGAGAAGAAGAGCUGACUCAAGAAAUUGAAAGUGGGAUGCUUUGGGAGCCAACCAGCCAACCAACUCCUUAGAGGAUGAGAGCGCUAGAUUCUUCCACAGAUUUCUUGCAACUCAAAAAAGGAAGAACCUGAUUACUGAGUACGAUAAUGACUUUGGGGAGCCAACCAGCCAACCAACUCCUUUAGAGAAAUUGAAAGCUUAAUCUGGAGAUUUAUACUAGGCUCUUCCCCGAAAGCUCGGUUCCGGGAUGUUUACCCACAAACUUUGACUGGCCUUGUGUAAUUCCCUUUUAGAAUGUUGUUAUUAUCACAGCAAAGUUCUCCAAAUUGGAAAUUAAAGCAGCUGUUAACUUCCUUGGAAAGUGUAAAGCCCCAUGUGAAUUCCUAAUUAAAUAUUGGAAUUUAGUCAAGUUGAACUUCAUUCAGUUUUCGACGAUUUUCAUGGAAAUAUAAAAUGAAAUGCUUGUGUUCAGGAGGAUUUCAUUUGCUUAAUCCAGAAAAAAGAAAAUGCAGUGUUUAUCAAAGAUUUCAGGCCAAUCAUUACGACCUUAACCUACAAGGUUAUUGCCAAGGUGCUAGCCAAGAGACUUAAAAAGGUAACGCUGUGCAUCAUUGCCCCCUCGCAAAGUGCUUUCAUAGAAGGAAGGAAAAUACUUGAUCCGAUCCUUGUUGCUAAUGAAAUUGUUGAGGAAUACAGGGCAAAGAAAAAAGAAAGGAUGGCUUCUUAAGCUUGAUCUAGAAAAAGCUUUUGACAAGGUUGAUUGAGACUUCCUUAAAAAAAUCAUGAGUAAGAAGUUUGACCACAAGUGGAUUGAAUGGAUCUUGGGUUGUGUUAAGAACCUGAGAUACUCAAUAUUCCUCAAUAGAAGACUGGGAGGAAGAACGUUGGCUACAAAGGGAAUCAGGCAGGGUGACCCCCUUUCAUCGUUCCUCUUCAUACUUGUAAGUGAAGUUCUUGAUGCUCUAAUUGAAAAUCUACAUCAGAAUGGCCUUUAUGAAGGUUUUGUAGUGGGAAAGGACAAGAUUCAUGUUCCAAUCCUUCAAUUUGCAGAUUACACCCUACUUUUUGCAAAUGCGAAAGCAACAUGUUAGUAACUUUGAAACAGACAAUAGAGCUUUUUGAAUGGUGCUCCUGGCAAAAAGUGAACUGGGACAAGUCGGCCCUUUUUAGAUAAACGUGGAAGAGAUAUCCUCUUUUUGGCAACCAGUUCUUGAUAAAAUUCAACUAAAGUUAGAUGAAUGGAAGAGGUUUAACCUCUCGAGAGGGGGGGAGCUAUGCUUUGUAAGUCUAUAUUCCUAAUGCCAGAAGAAGUCACUUCAAAAUUGGAAAGAAUCCUGAGGAAUUUCUUUUGGAAGGGAGGGCAGCAAAUUAAACUACCUUGUUAGUUAGUAAGUGGUCAACAAAUUCUUGAUGAAUGGUGGCCCUUGGCCUUGGUGGCUUCAAAUCUAAAAACUUGGCGCUUCUAGCCAAAUGGGAGUGGAGAUACAUGGAAGAAGACUCUCCGUGGUGCAAGGUUAUCAGGAGUAUCCAUGACAAAGAUUCCUUUAAUUGGCAUACUGCUAGAAAAGAAGGCAAAUGCGUGAGAAGCCCUUGGGUUAUUAUUUCCAGAACUUGGUUGAAAAUGGAAUCUUUAGCCACCUUUAGCUUGGGAAUGGGAGAAGUAUAGCUUUUUGGUUAGAUCACUGGGAGGGAGCGACCAUUUCAUCUAGCCCUUCCACAGUUGUUCAGAAUAGCUUUACUCCCAAAUGUUUUGGUUGCUGAUCGCUGAGACUCUGCAUUAUCAUCUUGGUCCCUAAUCUUCUGCAGUUUGCUAAAAGAUGAAGAGAUUUCAGACUUCCAAGUACUGUUUCGAAAAUUAGCAUCAAGAAAUAUUUCUGAAGUUCAAGACAGACAAAUAUGGUCACCUGGCGGCAGCAGAAAAUUUACAGUAAAGUCCCUUACUCUUCACCUGUCUGCUUCCUCCCCUCUGGAUAAAUUCCUCUAUAGUACUAUACGGCUCUUCGGAAGUCUAAUAGCCCAAGAAGGGUUAAUAUCUUCAUUUGGAUCACCCUGAUAGGUUAACUAAAUGUGUCCUCAGCUUUGCAACAUAAAUUGGCUAAUAGUUGCCUCUCUCCCUCCAUUUGCCCGCUGUCUACAACAUGAAGAAGAUUGCCAACACUUGUUCUUCCUAUGCAGCUUUUCGGCCAAUUGUUGGGAAAGUCUGCUCAACUUCUUUAAUAUUGGGCGUUUGGUGCAACUUUUUGUGAUAAUGUGAUUCCUCUGUUAAUCGGCUCCUGUCUAAAUAGAGAAACUUCUUUACUUUGGGUUAACAUGGUGAAAGCUAUACUGGCAGAAAUCUGGUUUGAGAGGAAUAUAGGGUGUUCCAUGAUAAAUCUCUUGAUUGGAAGGAUCACUUUGGAAACACGCAUCAAAAUACCUCCUCAUGGUGUUCGGCCUCAAAGAUCUUCAGCAGCUACAGCAUCCAAGGGCUCAACUUAAAUUGGAGUGCCUUCAUUUUUCUCCAGCUUGAUUAUUCCCCAAUGUGUUUGCGCUUCUGUUUUUUUCUUUUUUUGGUCGUACGCAAUCUUUAUAGCUUUCCUCCUUUGUUUUGGAAUCUAUUUCUUCUCCUACUAGUUAUCUUGUAAGCACUUGUUUAACUCUUUUGUACAUUGAACUUUUUGCCUCAUCACGAAUAUUAACAAAGCUACUCGUUUCCAUUUAAAAAAAGGUGUACAAUUUUAUCUUAAUAACUUUUAGAUUUGCAAAUGGGUACAAUUUUCAAGGAAACAAUUAUUUUUUUUUUUUUUGGGGGGGGGGGGGGGUAAGAAAUCAAGUUUUCUUUGAUAAAAGUUUAUACAGGGACAUACAAAUAAAGGUCGUUCUCAAAAAGCCCUCAACUAUCUACAAGAAUGGGCUGCGGUCCCUCAAACUUACAAAAAAUCCGUUCUUACCCGAGGAAACAAAUCUUUUGUUAACCUUUCUGUCACAUCUCUUAGUUAGCCAGUGCACACAAUUUCUCAUUUAUAGUUCUUGGUUUGAAGCUCAGCUCCUUCCAAAUUACAAUUUUUUUUUAUUUACUUUAUUAUUGAUUAUCAAUUUUUUUUUAUUUGCAGGAGUUAUUGGCCAUUCAACAACAAGGUCCUAGAGCCAUUGGCUUCUUUGGAACCCGAAAUAUGGGUUUCUUGCAUCAAGAACUCAUUGAGAUUCUUAGCUAUGCAAUGGUUAUAACGGUAGAAUAUGUGAUUUAUUGUCGCUGCACUAUUGAAGCGCUAUUUAGUCUUUCAUGACUGCAAAAUAUUCAUAUUGCUUAGUAUAUUCUGUAUGCAGAAGAACCACAUCUAUACUUCAGGAGCAUCUGGAACCAAUGCAGCAGUUAUCAGAGGUGCAUUGAGGGCUGAAAAACCAGAACUACUUACUGUCAUUUUGCCACAAAGUUUGAAAAAACAACCUCCCGAAAGCCAGGAAUUGUUAUCCAAAGUAAGUUUGAUUGGUUAUAAACAUAUUUACUCAAGAGUUAGAGCUUGUAUAUGUGUACUGUUUGAUUGGUUAAUUCAAGUUUCCGUUUUGAGUUAUUUAAAAUGGCUUAGGGGGGCAUUUGUUGCACAAAGUUGAGUUAGUAAUUAAAUUAUUUAGAGUGUAGAGUUAAGUUGAGUAGUAUCUGGUGUAGUAUUUCUAAAGGAUUCUGAUUUUUGUUUUUUUCUAAAUUUUUUUGUGCAAUUAUUCAAUUGCUCGCAUAUUCUUCUAAAACUUUCAGUACUCAAAUUACAUUAACAUAAUCUUUUCCAUUCUUAAAAAGUUAUUUUGAACACAAAUUUUGAACACUCAUUUCCUUGACAUAUUUUUGCUCAAUUCUUAAAAACUUGAGAUAUCCUAAACACUAAUUUUGGACACCUAAUUACUUAAAAACUUAGCAUAUCUUUUUUCCAUUCUUAAAAACUCAACAUAUUCUUGAAAACUUAGCAUAUUCUGAACACAAGUUUUCAUUGCUCAAUUACUUUAAGACGUGGUAUGUUAUUGUAUUUCAUUUUCAAAUGAAAUUUAAUGCAAAAUUAAGUCACAAUACACCAAAAUUGAUUCACACUCAAAUACUUAAAAAUUUCAUUCAUACUCGAAGAGUGAAAUUUGUGGUACAUUUCUUUUUUCUAUUUUAGGGCUAUUUAGGGUUUUUUUUUUCCAUGAUACUGAAAUUAUGAUUUUUAAAACGUUUUUUUUUACUUCAAAACAAUUUAGCUGAUUUCAAAACAAUUUUGUUUAUUUUCAAAAAGUUUUUAGUUCAAAACAGUUUUGUUUACUUUUAUGUCAAAUUACUAGUGCAAACAUUUUCUUAAAAAUCCUUCCAUUUCAAACAACACGAUAGUACAGUAAGUGUACAGUUAGGAGAGGCUCUCAACUGUUGCAAAAUCACUGGUCUGACUCGUAAUAGAGAAUGAAUUUAAUAGAACAGUGUUUAUUUUUAUUCUGUUUUGUGUGUGUGCUGUUCUGGUGUUUUCCAGGUGCUACUGAGUUGGAUUUUUAACAAAAAACUUCGGAAAUCAAAUGUAGUUUCGUUGCACUUGAAAAUAUCACAAGUUAUUUUGUUAAGAGUUUUUACAGUGUGCUUUUAGAGUCAGAAAAUAGUUUAAACACCAUUUCUAAAUCUUCCCCAACUUUUGAUUGUCUAAAAUGUAAGUUGCGUACUGGUUAAUAUAAUAGAGAAUGAACUGUAAGGGCCCUUCAGUCAACUUUUUUUUUUUUUUUUUAAAUUGUCCCUUUAGUCAACUGCUUAGAUGAUCUAUUGUUGAUGACUUCAUUUGGAUAAGUCUUCAUUAAAUUCUUUUUCUAUUUUGUUUAUCUUGGAAUUUGUAGGUUAGGAAUGUGAUAGAGAAGCCCCACAAUGAUCAUUUAUCUUUGAUAGAAGCUAGCAGGUAUGUGUGUAGUUUUUUUCUUAGUUGACCAUAAGGUGAAUUAGAAUUUCACAUAGUGAAAAUAUUUUUACUGAUGUUGAUUUUUAAUAAUAGUUUAUUGGUAAAGAAAAAGAAUUAGUCAAUCAAUGGUUAUACUUGAUUAAUAAAAAUUGACUUUGACGUACCUAUAGUUAUUAUGUCUUUUUGAAAUGGAAACAAACUAAUAAAAUCAAAUGAACCCCAUCCUAUUCAAACAAACUAAACUCAAUAUUCACAAGUCCAAGGCUUACUCAGCCCGUACAAAGGAGUAACAAAGAUGCCAGGAUAACAACAAACAUGAUAGCUCCUGAUAACUUAAGUGUACACUCGAAGGAAUGAGGGAGAGAAAGGGAGAGGAGAAUGAUGUAAUACGUGUGAAAUGGAAGUUGUUUUAUGUGGGAGUGAGUUUGUAUGGUUUGUGUGGGGUCCAUGGGUUAUUUAUUUGGUUAGUGAAAGUUAGAGAGCCUUUUCGAAGGUGGGGGAAAAGCAGGUAAUUUUCAUAUUUCAGCAUAUUUGUCGUGUAGCUCUUUAGAGCAUAGAGAAGGGGGAGAUCUUGAACGUUGGUUUUUCGCCUAAAUGGUAAAUUCAUCUAGCCAUACCACACACAUUGUUGCAAGUUGGUGUGGAAACUCAAAUUCACCAAAAGUUUGCUAAAAUACAAUAGUGCUUGGACAACAAUUGAGACAGAGUUGACCUUGGGGAAGGAUAAGUUAUGGUAGAUGAUUGAUCUAAAGAUUAUAUAGGGUAAAUACAACGAAACUGUUGAGUGAAGUGGAAGUUAUGGAUCCACUAAGAGAACGAUAAUCGAUGAAGUAAAACAACCAUGUGGUGGCAGAGGAGGAACAUACGAAGAAAGCAAUGGGAGAUGAGUCAUGGAGGGCCUUAAAAAGAAAGAUGAAGAUGGACCAACUCAUUAAAGAUAGUGAGAUAACUCGACAAAAGAGGAAGCAUAAAUAUGGGUCAAACUUUGAAAGCUACAAAUGCCACGAUUCAGAUGACCCAAAUGGAUCUAAAUGGCCUAACACACUACAUAUUUGAAUUUGGUAACCCUAAAGAUGCACAAGGAAAAGUAAUCACCAACGGUGCGUGUAAGCAUCUAUCAGAUAGUGAAUUGAAUAACAAGUAGGAGUGAACAUUAAAAUCGACCUAACCAAAUCAAAUGACAAAACCAAAGUGAACCAAACUGAAAAUCCUAUCUUCACUGGAGUUUUAGUUUUGGAUUUGAAAGCAGAAUUCAUAAUUGAACCAACUCGUCUAUAUUAAAUAUAAAACAAAAAAUCGAACUGAACCAAGUUGAAUAUUUUGCAGUUGGGUUUGGACCAAAUAAAUUGUUUGGUUCAAUUUGGUAUAUAUCAUAACUAGCUUGCCAACAAGAGUUGAACUUAAUUGGCACCUGUAUGUGUUAAAGACCAAGCUCGAUAAAAGGUUAUGCUUCCGUUGUAGUGAAUAUUAAAGUCCAAAUCAUUGGUGCAAGAAGAGAGAGCUGGAUGUCAUGGUCCACCAUGAUGAUGAAUUGGUGAAACAGGAAAUUUGGGUGGUGGAUGAAGUGGCAACUUUGUUAGAAACACUUGAUAUUGAACCCAAACUAGUUGAGGUUGUGGCAUUGGUGGGUCUUUGUGGUGGGUUAAUCAUUUGCUCUAUUAAGAUGUGAAAGUGAGGAACAGGCAGUCAUCUUAUGCAAAAUUAAGGAUUGGUACAAGUUGGUCUUUUUCAUUCGAAAUUCGGUCAAUGGGAUCCGAUUCUUCCAUACAAAAAUCAAAUUGCCCCUUUUUAUGGGGGUUGGAUCAAAAUCAGAAACCUUCCUCUCGACCGGUGGGACGAUGAUAUUUUCAAAUCUAUAGGUAAUUAGUGUGACGAGAUGACUAUUUAGUAAAAAGAUACUAUCUCGUCUUGACCUGAUGAUGGAUGCUACCAUACACAUCAAGCCAAAAAUCAAUGAAGUUAUUCCAGUUGAGGUAUGGAUCCCAUCCACCUACUCCUCAUCUGUCUCUAUCCACAAUGACCCUUUCUUCUCAACAGAGAACUAUAUUGGCUACUUGGUCCAUGGAAUCAUAACACCGACUAAAUUGUACGUUGUCAUUCAGAGAGGAUGUCUAGAUUCAACCCAAAUCGAACAAAGUCCAAGCACAAACUGACAAAUGAAUUUGAAGUUAUCGUUGCUGCACCCAUACCUUCAACCCUAUUAGACAAUUUUGUCAGCGGUAUGGUUCCAUGGACCCAUACCUUUGGCCCUAGUCCCACUAGACAACAAUCCCACUUCUCCACCCAAAAUUCCUCUACCACCACCUCCUCGUUCUUCACCCACCCCUCCACUUACUCGAGCUUCACCCACCUCCCCGCCUACAUCUUAACAUGGCCUACCUCCGUCCAACUCCACGCCUACAACCCCACAAGUUCCAUCUCCUCAGGCCUUUUCAAUAGACCCACCAUUAACCACAAAUAACCAAAAGCCCAACACAACAAAAUACCCAACUGCCCCACCAGGAAACCAAACCAUCAACCCACUACAAAGAUCCAACUCAAUAGCGAACACUGACCUAGUCCCAAUUUCAACCCAGUUCGAUAUAACUCUCCCCAAACUGCCAACCGAUACCACAUCUUCAGUUACAAAAUCAUUGUCGUCAAUUAUUAACAAACCUGUUUUCUGCCUGGCAAAAAAUAUUAAACCAACAUUUAGUGAGGAAAUCAACUCGGACAAUUACCUUUUGAGUCCCCUACCUCUCAACGUUGCUCCACCAGCCUCUCCUCUUCCCACUCCCCUCGUGUUAUAGGACACUAUCAUUGGACAAGCUAUGGUUGAAGGCGAAGCAGCUACAACUCCUAACCCCAUCAAUAUCUCAUCUCCUCACCCUGAAUCUGAUUGCAAAGAGGGACCAGAAGACUGCGUUUUUACUUAAAAAAAUUUCCCACCAUGGCUAUCCAAAAACAAAUGCUGUAUCAUUGCUCAUGCGGCAAAGAACCACAAAACUGCGAAAAAACAACAGCUUCUUAUCAGGGAAUUAAUUAUGACAAGCCACCAUUUUCCUCCAUCCACGGUGAACUAUCCAGUUCAUCAUGUCCAUCAUCUCAUGGAAUGUCAGAGGCCUUAGAGGCUAGGAGAAGCGGUCCCUUAUGAAAUGAGAGAUUGUAAUACACAGCCCAACCAUUGUCAUCCCUCAAGGAACAAAAACUAUUCAUAUUGGCCAACUCUUCAUCAAAUCUAUCUGGAGCUCUUGUAACAUUGGAUGGAAUUAUUAGAGGCAAAUGGUUCAUCGGGAGGUAUUCUUUUUAAAUGGAAUGACCCUGCCCUUACCAUAUCAGACAUCACUAAAGGUCAAUAGUCAAUACACUCUCACUAUGCUCAUUACUAUAGUUGAUUGCUUUAAUUUCUGGUUAUCGGGUAUUUAUGGCCCUUUCUGUUAUAGAGAGACUUGUCUUCUGGCAAGAGUUAGAAGACCUGUCAGCUCUUUGUAGGAAACUGGAUUUUGGGUGGCGAUUUCAGCCCUGAGAAAUUUAAGGAAGGACCGAUCACGAGAAUUGUGAGAAACUUCAACAUAUUCAUAGAUUAAAAUGAAUUAAUUGUCCUUUCUCUGUCCAUUGGGCUCUAUACUUGGUCGUAGUGGAUAGACUCCCCUUCUUUGACUUGUAUCGAUUGAUUCCUCAUGACAGAUUCCAGGUAAGUAUAAGGAAGCUACAACAAGAAAGCUCAAUAGGCCAACAUCAGACCAUUUUCCCAGUAUGCUUAAGCUUGGAAAUAUUAAUUGGGGUCUUCCUUCUUUUCGCUUUGAGGACAUCUAGCACCUUUGCCUCUCUGCUUGAUAAAUGGUGGCAUGAUAAUCACCUCACUGGUUGGCCGAUCUAUGGUACCAUACAGAAGUUUAAGACUUUCAAACCUGUGGUCAAAGACUGGAACAAAUCAACAUUUUGCUGCCUUCUAUCCCUGAAGACGUGAUUGCUAUUUGAGCUUGCUGGUAUCGACACUCUUGAAGAGAACAACUCCUUGACUCUAUCGGACAUUGAAACGAAAAGUCAACUUUAGGCACAAAUUCUUUCCAUAAAUACAAAAGAAGAAGGAUCCUGAAGACAAAAAUGUAAGAGGUGGCUUAAAGACGGCAAUAUGAAUUCCUCCUAUUUCGAUCAUCUUAUGAAUGCUAGAAAAAGGAAAAGUUUGAUGACAAAAAUUCUAUCUAGGGAGGGGAACAACCUUCUUAUAGAAAAAGAGAUUGUGGCUGAAUUUACCUCUUUCUAUGAGAGUCUUUAUAUCAAGGAUAAUGGACAUAGGAGUCUCCCACAGAUUAACAACUAGCAUCCAAUAAGAAGCAUUCACGGGAAAGAACCCUUUGAUUGGCACACGGUGGGUAAAUCCCAUGAUAGUUUGAAGAGUCCCUGGGUUAGCAUUUCAAGAGCUUGGAGGAAGGUGGAAGCCCCGACAAUGUUCUUGGUAAUGGCAGGAGAAACCUUUUUGGACAGACUUAUGGAUAGGUGACAUCCCCUUUAAUCCUCGAUUCCCUAAGCUUUUCAGAAUUGCAUUACUGCCUAGUGAUUCUGUUGCUGCUCCUUGGGAUAAUCCACUAUGUCUUGGUCAAUUGUUUUUCAAAGACUAUUAAAAGAACAUGAAAUCUCAGAUUUUCAAGCUUUGCUUUAUCUACUAUCCUCUAAAAGGGUGUUAAAUUUGGAUGAUAGAAGUCAUUGGUCACUCAACCCAGGCAACUUUUUAGUUAAGUGUCUUUCAGCCCAUCUCACUUCAUCAUCCCCUUUGGAAAAAAGAAUGUUCAAAGCUCUGUGCAAAUCCAGCAGUCCAAGGAGAGUAAAUAUAUUGAUCUGGAUUAUGCUUUUUGGCCUUCUAAAUUACUCCUCGAUUAUGCAAAGAAAGAUCCUCAGCAGUUGUCUAUUGCCCUCAGUUUGCCCUCAGUUUGCCCUCUUUGUAUUAAGGAAGGUAAGGACUUACUGCAUUUAUUUUUGAACUGUUCUUAUUCAGCCAACUUUUGGAGGAAUCUGUUCUCCCUCUUCGAAGUGGCUUGGGGAUUUGAUGGAUCUUUAAGCUUGAACAUCUUUCAGCUGCUUGGGGGCCCGUUUCUACCAAAGCGACAGAAUAAUUUGGGAAAGUAUGUCUAAAGCACUGCUUGCAGAACUUUGGUUCGAACGUAAUCGACAAAUCUUGAUAAAUGGUGGCAUGAUAAUCUCCACAGCCAACUUCUCAAAGUGACUCAAUGGUGCCCCGAGGAAACAUUCAUGCCUCAAGGGAUCUUAGACAGGGCGACCAUUUAUCACCUUUCCUAUUCAUCAGUCAUGGAUUGCCUCUGCAGAAUGCUAAUCGAAGCUAGCUCCAUUAAUUGGAUGAAAGGUUUUCAAAUGGGGUUCAAUUCCAUAUAGGUUUACCAGCUCCUCUUUGCUAAGGAUACCAUUAUUUUCUUUAAACUAAAAGAGGAUGCUAUUGAUAAACUCUUCACCAUCAUCGAUUCCUUCAAAAAGGCAACGGGGUUUAACCUCAACAUGUUGGAAAUUCUGAGCAUUUGCACACCUCCUGAGGAUUUGUGUCGGCUUGGCAUUAUAUAUAACUUCAAAUUCAGUCAAUGGCCUUGUUUCUAUCUUGGCCUCCCAUUGUUUGGAAAACCAAAAUCAGUUUCUUUUUGGGAACCAUCGUGGAAAAGAUUGAGAAAAGAUUAUCAUCAUGGAACAACCAACAUAUCUUUAAAGGUGGCAGGCUAACUCUUCUCCAGGUGACUAUCCAAUUUUCCUAGAUAUUACAUGUUCUUAUCUAAGCUUCUUGUCAUGGUGGCCAAUAAAAUUGUUAUGUAUAGAAAUUUCCUAUGAUAGGGAAUACCACACAAAAUGGAUCUCAUAUGGUUUGCUGGGACAGGAUCAUUAAACCACUCUCCACCGGGGUCUUGGAAUUCAAAAUUUGAAAGAUAAGAAUAUAGCUCCUUGUUAAAUGGAUUUGUGGGACCCCAGACAUGGGUGGUCUCUUAGCUUCGGAAGAAAUAUGAGGGAUGACGAGUUUGAUGUCUAGCUUUCUAUCAUGAAUUUCUUACAAGGUGUCCAACUCAAACAUGGGUCAUCUUUCAGCUUUGAUUUGCAGGAGGUUUGCAUCUUUGAAACAAUGCUUUUUUUCUCAAGCGGGAAGAUUAACUUUGAUGAAAGCUGUGCUUUCAGGUAUUCCAUUGUACUAUCUCUGUUCAGGGUUCCCAGUUUGGUUUUAUAAGAGUUUAGAAAAGCACAUAAGAGACUUUAUGUGCAAUGGUAUUGAUGAAGAAAUGAGUUCUCAUCUUGUUAGCUGGGAGGCGUGAAGGGGUUUGUUACAUCAAGGGGGUUUGGAGAUUGGUAACUUAAGAAAUUGCAACAGAGUUUUGUUGGCAAAGUGGCUAUGGCGCUUUUUUCAUGAACCAGAGGCUUUCUGGCACAAAAUCAUUGAGUAAAUAUGGUAACCAUCUCUCUAAAUGGAUAUCGAAAAGGGUUGAUACUCAUGAAAUUCCCUGGAUUAGCAUUGCUUUUGAAUUACCUUUGUUCUCUUUAUUUACUCGUUGUAUUGUGGGGUAUGGUAAGGAUACCUAUUUUUGGGAGGUUAAGUGGGUGGGAGAUAAUAUUCUUUCUGUCUUUUCCGCGUUUGUAUCACUUAUCUACCCUUAAAAAUUGUCCUAUUUCAGAUUUUUUGAUGAGAUCCGAAAAUUCUAUCUUUUUCCUUUGGGUUUCAUCGUAAUUUGACCGAUAGAGAAACGACUGAGGUCGUUUUUUUUUGUCUCUCGUUGAGAGUUAUCUUUUAGAGUGGUGAGAAAGGAUAUUCCACUAGUCCUAAUUUAGGCUUUUCUUGUAAAUCUUAUUUCAAAUCUUUGUUGGAUCCUUCUCCAGCAGAGAGUCUAUGUCGGAGGUUGUUCGGAAGCUAAAGAUUCCUAAGAAAGUGAGAUUUGUUUCUGUGGCAAGUGUUACUUGAUCAUGUUAAUACUUUAUAUUGGUUAGUGAGGAAAAGAACAACUACUUUUAUGGAACCAUUUUGCUGUAUUCUUUGUUUUUGUGGGAGUUCAUGAUGUAAUAAGAAUAAGGCUAAAAGAAAGCUAUAGUUAGUUAGAGCAGAAGACAGCUGUAGUAGUUAAAAUAGAUAACUACUUUGUAACAAACUUACAAAACCUUAAUAAAUACCACAUCUCUUAGCCAUUAUUGGCAGAAAAUUCAUUUUGAGAAAUUAGUUCUACUUUGAAUUACAUUAGUUCCAUUACACACCAACUGUGUGGAGCUUAUUUCUACAAUAUUUUGGUAUUAAUUAUGCGGGACAUCAUGACAAUCAAGCAACAAUUAGUGAGAACUUCUUCUCAAUCCGCCUUUCAAAGAAAAAGGUUGCUUUUUGUGGUUAGCAGGUGUGAGCGUUUUUGUGAGAUAUGUGGGGUGGGAGGAAUGAUAGAAUUUUUAGAAGAAGAGAGUGGGAUCUUAGUGAUGUCGGGUCCUUGGUUAGAUUUUAUGGUUCUCUUUAGACUUCAAUUUCGAAGCAGUACUGUAACGAUUGGUCAUAUUUUCUUAAUUAGACCCCCUUUUAUAAUAUGAGGGUCGUCUUUAUGGGGUUCCUAUGCCCUUGUACCUUUCAUUUUAUCUCAAUGAAAGCUGUUUUAUAAAAAUAAAGAAAAAAAGAAAAAAACUCACUACCAAUAAAGACAAAUGGAUUUGGAAACCGGAUGUUAAAGCAUUUUUCGCUACAAAAUCUCUCUCCCAAUUUAUGGGAACUAGAACAGUUUCCAUAGAUCUCACCCACUACACAAAGCAAUAUUGAAGGAUUUUUACCCAACCCUUUUUGUGUGUUGAUAGAACAUAAUAGAAUAUUCAUAUUGCCCUCUGAAAGAAAUAGAACUGUAAAACAAAUUAUUUUGAUUCGACUGUCUUUUCUUUUUGACUUGCCUUGAGUUGUCCAAGAAAGAUUGAAUUCUUUAUUUGGGAAGUCAGUCACUAUGCUAUCAACACUGGUGCAGAAUGCCGAAACGCAGCCCCUACAUGGUGAUAUCUCCACAUUGUUGUCACAUCUGCAUUGACCACAUCUUCCUCCAUUGUCUCUUUGCCAAGAGAUUUUGGAAGGAAAUCAUACAUAUUUUUUAAUGGAAUGUCACCUUUCCACAUGAAUACAUUGGCGCCCUACCAUACACACUCACUGGUCACCCAUUCACUAGACCGAAGAAAAUCAUGUGGAUGCAUCUGAUCCAAGCUUUUCUAUGGAUCAUUUGGAAGGAAAGAAACAAACGUCUAUCCACCGAGAAGAAAAGCUCCUAUCACUGCUGUUUUUAACCUUAUUUAUCUAUGGAUCAUUUGGAAGGAAAGAAACAAACGUCUAUUCACUGAGAAGAAAAGCUCCUAUGACUGCUUUUUUAACCUUAUUAUUUAUCAUGGCAUGAGCUGGUGUAAAAAAAUUCCCUUUUCCACUCUUAUGAUCUUUCCUCCCUCUAACCAACUGGAGAAAGCUUAUGCAACUCCAUUGGUCUUGGGCACAGCCCUUCUCUAUAUUUCAUAUAGCAAUGAAAUCGUUUCCAUUGGUUAUCCAUAGAAGCCCAUGGGAAGUGCAACUCCAAAGGAUUUUUCCUUUUCCAUGAAAGCUUCUCCCAUUUAGACUAUCCAUCAUCUAGUCAUCGACCUUCUUAGGAAGGCAGCUAUUCAACCAGAGAGUAUUAAAGUGAGCCCUCCCCCUUAAAAGGUUAAUUUAAUAUCUGAUAUGUGGGCCAUUGGCUCACAUGAUAUUGAAUUAACAUUUUAAGGAGUGCUCGCCAUCCUAGCUUGCUGCUAGGCCCUCAAGCGUCGCCCAUACGUUGCACUACAGCUUGGACCUGGCGUGCACCCCUCCAAAACAGUUACUCCACCCUCUAGCAGUGAAAUCACAAUGUAAAAACAGGUGAUCAACUGUUUCCAUCUCUCUAAAGCAAAGGCAGCACAUAGAAGGGAUCAGAGACCAAUUAGGAAACUAUGGAUCAGAGACCAAUUAGGAAACUUCCUUUGGAGCUUCUCUUGAGUAUUGAGGCUUCUGUAAGCAAUUCCAUCAUCCUUGAAAUUUGAUUAAUCCUUCAACAUUUGCUUUUGUGUUUGAGCCUCUAGAUGGUUUGCCACCACUAGAAGUAAAAGAUCAUCCAAUUGAAUUAUUUCUAAGGGCGGGACUGAAAGAUGUUUGCCCAUACUGAUACCCACAAUUUGAAAAGGAUGAGAAUGAACAUCUGAUGAAAAAAAUGUUGGCAGGGAUAGUACAGCCAAACAGUCCUUUCUCAAAUAUGCCGUUAUUAAUUAAAAGGAAAGAUGACAGUUUGAGGUUUUAUGCUGGCUAUCACCUUUUGUUCGUUUUAAUGUACACUGAGGAAUGAUUUGUUAUUCUAUAAACAGAGAUUGAUGUUACAUCCGAAUUUGGAUUCUCUUGUAAUUAUAAUCUGAUGAGGAGCUCUAAACCCUGAUCCGAAAUAAUUACAAACAAUAACAACAUUCUAAAUUUCGUAAAACUACCCCUACAUCAAUUCCUUUCCCACCCAAAAGAAAAUCAUCCAUGAGUCUAAAUAAACAGAAAAGUCGUCCGGUUCAAAAUAGGGGAAUUGUUGGCGACAUUGAAGGUCGCUGCUGUUCAUAGAUCUAGGAAGGUCCACUCUAUAUGUGUUGCCCCCAGAUCUUUCCAGAAUAGCAAAUGGCUCGUAUUUCUUAUUGGAGAGUUUGGAAUCAGAUCUAGUAGGUAAAUGGUUCUUAAUAUAAACCAUCACUAGGUUGAAAAGUUGAUAUGCGGUGACGAAUAUCAACUUGCGCAUUUAGAGUUUGGGUAAGACCUUCGCAUGAAUCUUCUAAACCUGAUCAACAAUGGUCUACCCAAGGACCUUGGUAGUGCCGAUGUUCGUAGAUGUAGGAAGGUCCGCUCGAUAUGUGUUCUCUCCAAAUCUUUCCAGAAUAGCAAAUGACCUGUAUUUCUUGUUCGAGAGUUUGGAAUAAGAUCUAGCAGGUAAAGAUUCUUUUUAACAUAAACCAUCAUCAGAUCACUGGGUUUAAAAGUUGAUUUGCGAUGACAGAUAUCAGCUUGGGCACUUAGGGUUUUCAGCCAUCAAAUGCCCAAGGAUCUUGGAUGGAAUUUUCAAAACCCGAUCAACCACGGUCUACCUCCUUGCAAUGGAGGAAGGCUAUCUGGGACUUGGGUUCAGUUGGGAAAUUCAUCUAAAAGUUAACAAUCCUACUAUCCACGGUGGGAAGUGAAGGGACAACAGAAGCAGUUUACAUUAAGGAGUAAACUUAGACGCCUGCACGAGGGCCUGUUUAGUGUUCAAUAGAUAAUAUAGAAAACAAUUGUCCUUGUUCUCCAGUGAUAUUUGAAGGUUGUCUCGAACUCACCUAGCUUUUUGCCUAAAUAGUAAAUACAUAAGUUCGGCUACUGUGAUUAUGUCUAACUUGUAUCAGAUGUUCUAUCUGCUAUUUAUUGUGAUUUAUAUACAUAUAUGUAUGUAUAUAAUAAAAUAAUGGUUAAAAUACAAUUGUCCAAUAGUUGAACUUUAAAUAGGUCGCUAAAGCUUCAUUUUUUGUCUAAUAGUACUUGAGCUUCAAAACUUCUUAUAGAUCCUAUUUGACUUUUUGUGAAAUUUACCACUGAUCUUAUUAAACGCAACAUUAAAAAUUGAAAGUCAUAGAUAUAAAAUUGAAUUUUGUGUUUAAUUUAUAAUCCACAAAUUUAAAAUGGAAUUAUGUAUCAUUGCAUUGUUCCAUCUCAUGGGUUUAUUGAAAGUUGCAGGUUAUGUAAUAUGGACAUCAUUUCGCACGUACAGCAAGUCAUUUGCUUUGCAUUUCAUGAUAGUAGGUUGCUCAUGGAAACAUGUCAAGAGGCAAAAAAUCUCCGGAAGAUUGUCACGCUUUUUUAUCUCGACUAAGAAGUAGGUCGAAAAUUUGUAAAUACAUUAUUUAACCGACAUUUACAUAUUUCGUCUAAUUUUGCUUGUAAAGUUAUUAUCCUUGAUGCUCCCUGCUGGUGCUCAAAGUUUUCCAAUCACUGUGACAGUGGAAAAGAGGCCAAUUUGCCUUUCCGAAGAGAUUUUUAUUUUUUAUGUUUGAUAGCUUUUUUUUUUCCUUUUUCUUUUGAAAUAAAAAACGACAAAAGGGGCAACCAACCUUCCCUUUUGAAUAUAUUGCUCCAAUUGGAUUUCAUGAUUCACAUAUAUUCAUGAAUUUAUAAGAACAACCAUGAAAUAUUUUCCUCCAUGAACUUCAGACUAUGGAAACAUACAAUCAACAGACAAGAACUCACUUGUACCCCUCACUAAACAUACAUUUUGUUCUAGGAUAAACAUACAAACUUUAUAAGCAUGCUUUUUACUUAAGAAUUGAAAGAGAUGAAGGAACUUGUCCUUGAACAUUUAUUGUCUUCAAGCAAUUCCAAUUUCUUCUAUUGCUCCUUGAUCAAACUUGAUCAACAAGAACACUACCACCAAGGUUUUCCUAAUUAUUCUCUAGGAUUCAAAGAAUUGGAUGUGUGGCUCCAAGACUUUGGUGAGAGGAAUUCUUUUCUGGAGGGGUAAAAAAAGAAAUAAAAUUGCUAGGUUUUCUCUGUUGAACUAACCAUUAAUUAAUUAAUAAUUUGAUCAUAUUUAAUUAAUGUAUAUAAAUAUCAAGUAUUUAUACGCGUAUAUCGGUCUGCACUAUAUUAUUAAUAUGAAUCUCAUUCAUAUUAAUUUUAAUAGAUGAAUCUUAGUUCUAAUAGAUUUCUUCUUUUAAUAUAGUUUUUAAUUACAAAUCAUAUUUAUAAUUAACUAUACCUUAUAAUGUAUUAAAAUACAUUAUACUCUAUAUCAAUCAAAUUAACAUAAAGUUGAAAUUAACAUAAAGUUGAAAUCUACGUCCUAAAAUUUGUAGUUUGUAAUUCAAAAUCAUGUUACUGAGAUUUUGUUAGUAAAAUUGAAUUUUGUAAUCUUGAAUCCUAUAAACUAAGGUCUCAGAGCUAUCUUGAGUAAACUUGAAUUUUAUGUAGAAACAUAAAUAUGGAUCAAGUUUGAGUAUAUAGCCUAAACGGUUUAUAGUAUGUGAAUAAAGGUUGUGUGCCUUAUUUUAGGAACACUACAGAUGUGACCCUUCCAAUAUUGUGAACGAACUAACUUCAAUUCAUUCAUUUUAUUACCAUAUUGGACGAUAAGCUUCAAAAAUUUAAUAUAAAAUAUGUUAUAUUUACAAUUUUUUUUAUAGUGUAUUACAUCUAAAAAGUUAAAUUAUUGUGAUUUGAAUAAAGAGAGAAUGGGAAAUUUCCAAAAAAAGAGGUUUACGAGGAAAACCUAAAAUUUGGACCCAUCGGCCAUCGGCCAUCAGCAUCAAUCAUUUGGUUGAAAUGUAUAUAUAUAUAUAUAUAUACAUUAAAAAGGGUUGGGGGACACCUGUUAAGAUGAUGUGAUCUGAAUUGUUCAUGUAAAGACAUGAGAGUGGGGGCAUCAAAUGUAAAGAGUUUUCAUAAGACUAAACAAGGAAAUGGUCAAUUUUACGUUAUAACAUCGUUUACUGUCCAAAACUGACUAUUUAGAUUAUUAAUGACUUAGGUAACUUAAUCUUAAUCUUGAGCUAGCUACAAACUUAAUUAGGAGUAAACGAGUAAGAUUGGAUGAAUAGCUGGGGACAUAAGGUGCAAGACGAAAUUCAUUCAUAUCCGCUUUAGGGUUAGUAGAUAGGUUAUUCCCUUAAGGACUGAAUCCAACGAAGAAGGGGUCCACCCUCUCAUUGGCCCGAGAGGGAUUUGGUUUUGGACCUUAAACCAAUUGUUUAAUAGUGGAUCAGUGAGACUUAAGGAGCAAGAUGUAGUUUCGAGAGAAAAACAGUAAUUUGAUCCAACGGAGGUUAUGAACGUACUGUGAAGGAUUAACUUACUGAUCAUGGUUAUAUCAAAUGAACACAAAAUAUAUUGAUAGAGGAGAGUGUAGGGACUUUAGUGGAAUGACCUGUCAAUUAACAAAUGUUGAUUAGCUUGGUCUAAAGGGGUUUAGUUAGUUAAUCUGGAAUCGUUGGAGUUCAUGAUCUAUAGGUUCAUUGAGUUUUUCUGCUAGCUCAUGUGGAAUAAACUUAGAAUAAUAUGAUGAAAUGAUUCGAAUUGUUUGAAUUAGAUGAGGAGAGAGAAACCAACAAGUAUAUGCGAUAUAAUCACCGGUUAUUAGAUUAGAUAUAGAUUUUAUGUUUAAAUGAGAUUUAAAUAUUAAAAAAAUCUAAUUACAGAUUCAUAUUUGAAAGCUCGAAAUUGAUAGAAAUAGUCAAAGUUAUAAAAAGUAAAAGGGUUUACUUUUGAUUUUAAAAACUCAAAGCUUUGACUAAACGAUAUAUUCAAAUAUGAUUUAAAUUUUGAGAAAAUGAAUGUCCAUUCAUGCUUGGAAGGUCGAAAUUAGUUAAGGAGGUCAAAAUGAUAAAAAGUAAAAAAAAAAAGUCAAAAUGUUGACUUUUGACUUUGAUUUGAAUGGUCAAAUGACCAUUUUGUCCCUUGCCUUAAGUUAGUGGAAAAAAUCCAAGAUUUUGUUCGAUAAUCUCCCUUACUCUUAGUGGGCUAAGUGGAGGUUCACGGUGAUGACAAAUCCACUAAAAAAAUGCAAUGGUAAAUAAUUCCACUAAUAGUAAAUAGAAAGUGAAGUGUUAAGAUUUGGUGAACUAAUUAUAUGCAAUAUGACUUGAUAAUUUGUUUUUUGAAAGACACACUCUACCAAAACAAAAUUCCAAUCUUUAACCUUAAAAAAAAUUAUUGACCCUUCCAAUUCCAUUACUUUCUAUCUCAAAUCUCUCUCUCGACUCCUCCAUCUAUCAGGUUCCACAAUCUGAUUAUGAGUUUGGAGGAUAGUAGGUGAUUACUAGUGGUGGUCAGGUCAAGUUUAUGUAAAGAUUGUCUAGUAAACUUAGCUACAAAGGUAAAACUUCACCUAACCCUAAGUCAAUUUAGUUUAGGGUUGCAUGUUAACAUGGAGCAUUUGGAGUAAAAUCUUGUUCUAAAUUUCGUUGCGCAUGUCUAUUUUUCAUUAACAAAUAAUUUGAACACCAUCAAUUAUUUCUCAAUAUUACCUUUAGUGAGCUAACAUGGAAACCUAAUUGACCUAUAUAUUAGAAGCUCCAAUGAUAGAUGAUUGGUAUUUAAAAUGCUUGGUGUUGUGAUAGAUGAUGUUGUGUGCACGUGGGGUUGAUGAUAUGAUGAGGUAUGUGAAUAUGAGUAAUGCAUAUUUAGAUGCAUUGGUAAUGCUUUGCCAUAAGUUUUCCUAUCUCGAGUCCAAGUGCAAUUUAAGCAAAGGUGUCACAAAAAUUAUCUGAGGUCGAACAAGAAGAAUGAACAACAUAUGGUUAAAAAAAUUGAAAAAUGUUUUUUGUGCGAGUGUUUAUCAAAUAUUCGAGGUGUGGUUAUCUAUUAAACAAUGAAAAAGUGUGUGUCAUAAUUUAGAGUGUGUGAGAACUAAGUGUCAACACAAAAAAAAAAAAAAAAA